AUUGAACGCUGGCGGCAUGCCUUACACAUGCAAGUCGAACGGUAACAGGUCUUCGGAUGCUGACGAGUGGCGAACGGGUGAGUAAUACAUCGGAACGUGCCUAGUAGUGGGGGAUAACUACUCGAAAGAGUGGCUAAUACCGCAUGAGAUCUACGGAUGAAAGCAGGGGAUCGCAAGACCUUGUGCUACUAGAGCGGCCGAUGGCAGAUUAGGUAGUUGGUGGGAUAAAAGCUUACCAAGCCGACGAUCUGUAGCUGGUCUGAGAGGACGAUCAGCCACACUGGGACUGAGACACGGCCAAGAAUCCAACGGGAGGCAGCAGUGGGGAAUUUUGGACAAUGGGCGAAAGCCUGAUCCAGCAAUGCCGCGUGCAGGAUGAAGGCCUUCGGGUUGUAAACUGCUUUUGUACGGAACGAAAAGCCCCGGGUUAAUACCCUGGGGUCAUGACGGUACCGUAAGAAUAAGCACCGGCUAACUACGUGCCAGCCGCCGCCGUAA
rnacentral:rRNA from 1 species